rnacentral:rRNA from 1 species
AACGCGAAGAACCUUACCUACCCUUGACAUCCUGCGAAUCCCGAUGAGAGUUGGGAGUGCCGCAAGGAGCGCAGAGACAGGUGCUGCAUGGCUGUCGUCAGCUCGUGUUGUGAGAUGUUGGGUUAAGUCCCGUAACGAGCGCAACCCUUGUCCUUAGUUGCCAUCAUUUAGUUGGGGACUCUAAGGAGACUGCCGGUGAUGAACCGGAGGAAGGCGGGGACGACGUCAAGUCAUCAUGGCCUUUAUGGGUAGGGCUACACACGUGCUACAAUGGGGCGUACAGAGGGUCGCCAACCCGCGAGGGGGAGCCAAUCUCUUAAAGCGUCUCGUAGUCCGGAUCGGAGUCUGCAACUCGACUCCGUGAAGUCGGAAUCGCUAGUAAUCGCGAAUCAGCAUUGUCGCGGUGAAUACGUUCCCGGGCCUUGUACACACCGUAGAGAC